UACAAUGAUCGGUUGAAGUGUAGUGGGC
rnacentral:piRNA from 1 species